GUUGUCCUUAGACAGUGUAAAAGUUUUGAAAAGGCAGCAGAAAGUCAAAAGAGAUGACCCCAAGGAAAUGAGGAAGGCGAGUGUUAUCAUCUGUGGACUGACUACAAUUCACUCACAGCAAUAGCUAAUAUUGGAGUUCUUAUUUUUUCUAGGUGCUUGAACACAGAACAUCUCACUUAACUCUUAGCACAAUCCUUAAGAGCCAAAUGUGUGAUCCCCCUCCAGAAAAGACUUGAGUCUUUACAGUUGGAAUUUCCGUGUCGUGAGUGGAAAAUAAGAAGCAAACCCAAGAGUUAAAAGCAAGAGGGCUUGAGAAGAGAGAAGAAUCAGUGAAAUAAUCUCUUGACUGGAAGAGUGAGUUGACUGAGGAAAUCAGCUGGAAUUGCCAGGCAGCACGAAGGGUUUGAGAUCACUUAAAAUUUGAUGUUAUUGUUGGGUCUUUAAGAUUAAGCACCAAACUCCAGACCCCAUUUUUCUCUUACCCCUCAAACAUGGUCUUCUUUAAGACAUAAUAACAUCAUUAUUUUAUUUGAUCUGACAAGCAUUUGUGUUGCACCUAUCCAAGCCUCUGGUGCAGAGGUGCAGUCGAGGGCACGUUCUCUCCAGGGACAGACUGGUUGGUGGGUAGAGACAAGAGAGAAAGAGAGAGAGAGGGAGAGAAGAAAAGGUUGAUUCCAUUGGGAGUUUUGCCUUCAUCCUCCAUGAACAGAGGGAAAUCAAUGCUCAUCGAAGGCAGCAAGCUCCCUUUAGAAGGAAAGACAUUAAUAGCUGGGAAAUGUGGCUUAGAUUUGACCUUUCACUUACUGAAUACCAGAAUUAGACAGGCUUACCCAUCCAGACCCAAGCUUCAGUGAACCCUCCCAGACCUCUCCAAGAGAGGCUUCUCUGAAACUAACAGCAUGGAGGAAAUAGGUCAGGAAAUGAGUGGCUCCUUGUAGGCGCUUGUUGCCAAGAGGAGAGAGGCAAGGAAGGUGUCCCCAUCUGGUGCAGGCUCAGUUCUCCUUCCAAAGCCACUAAUCAGGUAUGUUAUUCCAUCUGGCAGGAGUGCAGUAGAGAAGGGCAAGUGGGAGAGUAGAAGGAAGCCAGGAGUGUGACACUAGUUCAUGUCCCCACAUGGAAGAAAACAGCAGGCAUGGGGAAGAAAGAUUCCCUUUCAUGAAUUGAAAGUGAGGUCUUGGACCCUAGAUGGCUGCCCUGUCCCAUGCCUGGGCCUUUGACUCCCCCUCUCCUGCCCCCCUUUAUCACUGAAGCAAGCACCAAAUAGGUGAGAGAGUGAGAAAUUUGAGGGUAUAAACACAACAUUGAUUACCAUGUUGGCCUUUGAAAUCUGAGCUAACCAACGAAGAAAGUGAGAUAGCAAAAAGGAAGUAGGAUUAAUCAAUUGGAGGCUCAACUGAGGUCAAAGAGCGGUUGACUCAGAGGUUUUAAAAGGAUUGUGCUGGAAAGAUCACAGCCUUUCACAUAUUUGAAAAUUACUAUGAUGGUCCUCUUGAGUCUUUUUGCUUGGAUUAAACAUACUCAGUUCCUUUAGUGGUCCUCAUAGGGAAAUGUUUCCAGUAUAUUUGUAAAGAGCAUGUUUGCUUUCUACUGAGCACGCUCCGGCAUGUGCCUUUGAAAGGGUGGCACCUGGACACUACUACAUGGCUUCAUCCAGCUGGGGGUAGGCAUGGAGUGCCCAUCUUCCCGGGCCGUAGAAGCCCUUCUUCACCUGGGACAGGAAGCUGAGGAUCUCCUUCCUCUUCACUGUUUCCCCACCCUACGAACUCAGCUUGAGCUCUUUGUCUACUACAACCCCUGUAUCUGUUUUGCCCAGGUAUUGCUGCCAGGUGAGGACUCCACCACCCCAUACUCGGGCAGUUGUGGCAGUUUUCUGGGGACCUCAUGUGUACCGAUAUUAAAUAGCAAGGAUUCGAGGACUGAUUUAUCUGUGGGUCAUUUGAACUCUUACUAAAAUUCUUAAUGACAUUUUUGUUCAUUUCUUAAUCAUUUAGUGUUAGUCUCAGAAGUUUUUGGUGGUAAAGGGAAUGUAUGUUUACUCAUAUUUAUUUAUUCAGCAACCACAAAUGUUUACUGAGAGCCUUCUAAAAUAUCAGUACUGGGCUACAGACAUGGCCCCUGUGUUCAUGAAGUGUGCAGCAUAGGACCCAAAGAACAUCCCUUUGUUUUGUAUUUUUGAAUAAGGGAGAUCGCCAUUUACCUAGAGACCUGAACUUAUCUAUAGGAGUUUCUUCUUCUGCCCUCUGGUUGUAACAGAGGAAUUGACUCUCAUGUCUUCGAAAGACAGGCUCUUUAUUUCUACCUUGGGACCUAUCGCCUCUCAUUCACUCUUUCUCUCCUGCAUCAUCCAUCCCUCCCUCUAGUCUGGGUGAUUCUCUUUAGCAUAUACAUCUGCUCAUAUUUCUCACCUUCAAAACCCCCUUUCCUUGUCCCACAUUCUCCUCUCCAGCUACUGAUCUAUUCCUUUGUACUUGUUCACAAUAAAAAAAUCAUCUGUGCAUAAUGUGUCUGUGGCUAGAAAAAGCGGGGACAUGUUUGGAACGGCUGUGAGUGUUACAGCAGAGGGCUGAUAAGCGAGGAAGAGCACUUUCCAGAGUGCAAGGCACUGACAUCAAAGCACUCUGCAAAUAUUUUGAUAGGAGGCAGCUGUGUUAUAGCAAAGAGGGCCCUGACCUCCCCUCUCAGAGGACCUCUGCUGAGUCCUGGUUCCACCAUCCUCUCGCUGUUGUGAUCCUGAUCAAGUUAUUUAACUUCUUUUGAGCCUCAGUUUCCUCAUCUAUCAAAUGGAAAUAGUUGUGGCUCUCUCAUAAGUUUGUUGUGACUAUGAAAUAGGGAUGCUUGAAAGUAUGAAACAAAUGUUAGAAAGUAUUGUACAGCAAUAAUCUCCUUUAAAAGAAAAUGGCUAGCCCCAGUCUGCCUGGGCGCCCCCGCAACAAGAGCCUGAGCCAAUGGCUCCCCUGUUGUACACUUGGGAAUGUGAUCCCAGGGAGCAGGACAGAGGAGGAGAAGGAGGGGAAGGAGGCAGUCCAGUGCAAAUUCGGGUCACUAAGUUGCUCAGGGCUGCAGGCAGCCUUGACCCACACAACCUCCUGAGGAAACUUAUGAAAUGUGUCUCAGAACUGUCCACCCUGGGAACUGAAAGGGGCAGCAUUUACCCAAAGGUUCCCAUUCCCAUCUAUCAGGGGUGGUCCACGAGCACUGACUCCCCUCUCUUCAGGGUUACAUACACAUAAAUGCCAAGUGGACACCACAGAGCCUCAGGGGAGGAAGUGAAAGGUAGAAGGUGUAGGAGGAGACAAGGCCAUGUCAGGUUGUACCUUUGAAACUGGCUCAAAAUGGGAUCCUGGCGCAGUGGCUGGACUAAGAGGUGAGAUCAGGAGGAUUUGAAAUGGUGCACAAGAUGCAACCCCAUCCAACAGAAACAAAAACCAAAAAAAUGAUGACGUGACUUGGCUUGGGUAUUUUUAGCAGGGAUUAUGUGCCAUCUCUGUAGAAAAAGAGGGUAGGCCUUACACAUUAGUUUUUAACCUAUUUUUCUAGACACUAUGUGUUUCUGUAGAAUUAAGGAAUGGAAUCUCAAAUGCCCCACCUGGCUUUUUGCAACAAAUUGUAAUCAGAGACUGCAUGACCUAACUGGAAGAGACCCAGACCAAGAUCUUGGGGAAAUUGCUCAAUGUCUCUGAAGCAGCGGAUGGGGAAGGGGGGUAAAUUGAGAACCUUACUACUACCAUCUUUCCUGCCUACUUUCUAGUGUUUUGGGGGCUUUUGUGUGGAAGGGGAGAGGAGGUUCAUAAAAUAAACUAUGAAAAACUUUUUUAUAAAUGAGGAAGGAUUAUUAUCAUUUGGGUAUUAUUAAGUAUUGAUGAUUAAAGUCUAUUUCUCCCCAGGAUUGUAGCACAAUCAAAGUAAUUUGAGUUCAGUCAAGUGAAAUCAAUAAGCCUAGAGCACAUACUUUGUGCCAGGCCCCGUGCAAUCCAUUAAAGAUAAAAAGAUGCAUUAAGAGGAGGGACAGAGAGUAAUGUUAAUCCUUGGGUACUAGGCAAGACUGCUAUUACAGGAAGAAAAAGAAGGAGCAUCAGUGCUUUGCUAGGCAGAACUGUACAGAAACAAAGUUUUGCUUUUUCUUGGGUUAAGUCUUGCUUUAUAAGGCCUUUCCCAUUAAGAAAAUUAUAACUACCCUCUUAUAUGUCCAUUUAGUACUUUUGAAAUUUUGUUUUCUAUUUAAUGUAUAGCUUUUAAAAUCUAUUUAACUUUUUAAAAUUGAUGAGUAGU
rnacentral:lncRNA from 1 species